rnacentral:rRNA from 1 species
UACGUAGGGGGCAAGCGUUGUCCGGAUUUAUUGGGCGUAAAGAGCGUGUAGGCGGCUAGAUAGGUCCGUUGUGAAAACUCGAGGCUCAACCUCGAGACGUCGAUGGAAACCAUCUGGCUAGAGUCCGGAAGAGGAGAGUGGAAUUCCUGGUGUAGCGGUGAAAUGCGCAGAUAUCAGGAAGAACACCCGUGGCGAAGGCGGCUCUCUGGUACGUGACUGACGCUGAGGCGCGAAAGCCAGGGGAGCAAACGGG